GCCUCAGUAGCUCAGUUGGCCAGAGCACGUGAUUUGUAAUCUCGGGGUCGUGGGUUCGAAUCCCUCCUGGGGCU
rnacentral:tRNA from 2 species